rnacentral:rRNA from 1 species
AUUGAACGCUGGCGGCAGGCCUAACACAUGCAAGUCGAGCGGCAGCGACUUAACUGAACCUUCGGGGAACGUUAAGGGCGGCGAGCGGCGGACGGGUGAGUAAUGCCUGGGAAUAUGCCCUGAUGUGGGGGAUAACUAUUGGAAACGAUAGCUAAUACCGCAUAAUCUCUUCGGAGCAAAGAGGGGGACCUUCGGGCCUCUCGCGUCAGGAUUAGCCCAGGUGGGAUUAGCUUGUUGGUGAGGUAAUGGCUCACCAAGGCAACGAUCCCUAGCUGGUCUGAGAGGAUGAUCAGCCACACUGGAACUGAGACACGGUCCAGACUCCUACGGGAGGCAGCAGUGGGGAAUAUUGCACAAUGGGGGAAACCCUGAUGCAGCCAUGCCGCGUGUGUGAAGAAGGCCUUCGGGUUGUAAAGCACUUUCAGUAGGGAGGAAGGUAGUGCAGUUAACACCUGCAUUAUUUGACGUUACCUACAGAAGAAGCACCGGCUAACUCCGUGCCAGCAGCCGCGGUAAUACGGAGGGUGCGAGCGUUAAUCGGAAUUACUGGGCGUAAAGCGCAUGCAGGCGGCCUGUUAAGUCAGAUGUGAAAGCCCGGGGCUUAACCUCGGAAUUGCAUUUGAAACUGGCAGGCUAGAGUCUUGUAGAGGGGGGUAGAAUUUCAGGUGUAGCGGUGAAAUGCGUAGAGAUCUGAAGGAAUACCAGUGGCGAAGCGGCCCCCUGGACAAAGACUGACGCUCAGAUGCGAAAGCGUGGGGAGCAAACAGG